rnacentral:rRNA from 1 species
GAUGAACGCUAGCGGCAGGCCUAAUACAUGCAAGCCGAACGGCAAGAUUGAUAGCAAUAUUGAUCCUAGAGUGGCGUAAGGGUGCGUAACACGUAUGCAAUCUACCCUCAACAGGAGGAUAGCUCCCCGAAAGGGGAAUUAAGACUCCAUAAGAUCAUUUGGUGGCAUCAUUGAAUGAUUAAACUUCCAGGGGUUGAGGAUGAGCAUGCGCCNGAUUAGUUAGUUGGCGGGGUAAGGCCCACCAAGACGAUGAUCAGUAGGGGAACUGAGAGGUUGAUCCCCCACACUGGCACUGAGAUACGGG